AUUGAACGCUGGCGGCAGGCCUAACACAUGCAAGUCGAACGGUAACAGGAAGCAGCUUGCUGCUUUGCUGACGAGUGGCGGACGGGUGAGUAAUGUCUGGGAAACUGCCUGAUGUAGGGGGAUAACUACUGGAAACGGUAGCUAAUACCGCAUAACGUCGCAAGACCAAAGAGGGGGACCUUAGGGCCUCUUGCCAUCGGAUGUGCCCAGAUUGGAUUAGUUAGUAGGUGGGGUAACGGCUCACCUAGGCGACCAUCCGUAGCUGGUCUGAGAGGAUGACCAGCCACACUGGAACUGAGACACGGUCCAGACUCCUACGGGAGGCAGCAGUGGGGAAUAUUGCACAAUGGGCGCAAGCCUGAUGCAGCCAUGCCGCGUGUAUGAAGAAGGCCUUCGGGUUGUAAAGUACUUUCAGCGGGGAGGAAGGGAGUAAAGUUAAUACCUUGGCUCAUUGACGUUACCCGCAGAAGAAGCACCGGCUAACUCCGUG
rnacentral:rRNA from 1 species